CUACGGAGGGUGCAAGCGUUGUUCGGAAUUACUGGGCGUAAAGCGCGCGUAGGCGGUUUGUUAUGUCAGAUGUGAAAGUCCACGGCUCAACCGUGGAGGUGCAUUUGAAACUGGCAAACUUGAGUACUGGAGGGGGUGGUGGAAUUCCCGGUGUAGAGGUGAAAUUCGUAGAUAUCGGGAGGAAUACCGGUGGCGAAGGCGACCACCUGGCCAGAUACUGACGCUGAGGUGCGAAAGCGUGGGGAGCAAACAGGAUUAGAAACCCUAGUAGUCC
rnacentral:rRNA from 1 species